AUUGAACGCUGGCGGCAGGCCUAACACAUGCAAGUCGAGCGGAUGAAGGGAGCUUGCUCCUGGAUUCAGCGGCGGACGGGUGAGUAAUGCCUAGGAAUCUGCCUGGUAGUGGGGGAUAACGUCCGGAAACGGGCGCUAAUACCGCAUACGUCCUGCGGGAGAAAGUGGGGGAUCUUCGGACCUCCCGCUAUCAGAUGAGCCUAGGUCGGAUUAGCUAGUUGGUGGGGUAAAGGCCUACCAAGGCGACGAUCCGUAACUGGUCUGAGAGGAUGAUCAGUCACACGGGAACUGAGACGCGGUACAGACUCCUACGGGAGGCAGCGGUGGGGAAGAUUGGACAAUGGGCGGAAGCCUGAUCCAGCCAUGCCGCGUGUGUGAAGAAGGUCUUCGGAUUGUAAAGCACUUUAAGUUGGGAAGAAGGGCAGUAAGUUAAUACCUGGCUGUUUUGACGGUACCAACAGAAGAAGCACCGGCUAACUUCGUG
rnacentral:rRNA from 1 species